rnacentral:misc_RNA from 1 species
AAACGAUACUAUCACAGACUUAAGUAAAAACGAUAGAGUUAGAUCGAGCUUAUCAAGCUAUUAAAAAUGUUUAUUCUGUCACGCUAUAAAACUCGAUCAUAAAACCUCGAAAUUCGCUCUUGGAUCGAGUUUCAUUUAUCGAGCGUGCUACACCAAAACACGAGACCUUCGCUCCAGUUAGAAUACAUUUCUGCGUCGCCUUUGAUCAGUAAAUCGAUGUAGUAGUAUUAGAUUAAAGGAAUUGAAAACUGAGUGGAGCUGAUUAGGAAAGUUGGGAGUAAUUCUCGAUCUCGCGCUAACUCCUCAAAUUGGACGUCCGGGUUUCCCACUGUUCAUUGGACCUGUCGUUCGCUUGUGUGUUUCCGUUUCGUGUCCGCCACCACCAAGAUGGGUUACGAGAAGUUAAAGGGCAUCCACGAUCAACGCGUGAUUCGAACAGUAGCCUAGGCGGACAUUUGGAAAUUUUAGUGGCCAUAAGCUCUCUGUGUGGCUAUCGAGAUUACAUAGACAAAGACCGUGACUCAUAUUCCACAGUGUUUUCAUUGCCUUGAAAAUAAAGGGAACCUGUAACCA